rnacentral:tmRNA from 1 species
GGGCCCGCAAAGGUUUCGACGGGGAUUUUGAGGUAUGAUAAGCGCGGCGAGCCGGGUAAACUCGUAAACUGCCUAACCUAAACAAUAAACGACAACACUACUGUUGCAAUGGCUGCCUAAGGGCAGUGCCGUAGCCUGAGGGCUACCCGUUCUGCCGAGGAGGAUCACGGCCUCGGUAAGGGCGUCGAAUAGUGAUGCACGUGCAUCGGUGGUUCGUCCUUGAACCGGUCACGCAAAAAAGGGCUGCCCUGAAGAUCUGCGUGUCUGUUCGCAUAUCUGCGGGGGAGAAUUAAGAACAGACUGUCCGCGGAGAAAGUUAUACUAAGGGGUUUUCGGACACGGGUUCGAUUCCCGUCGGGUCCAUAA